CCUACGGGAGGCAGCAGUGGGGAAUUUUGGACAAUGGGCGAAAGCCUGAUCCAGCCAUACCGCGUGCGGGAAGAAGGCCUUCGGGUUGUAAACCGCUUUUGUCAGGGAAGAAAUCUUCUGGGCUAAUACCUCGGGAGGAUGACGGUACCUGAAGAAUAAGCACCGGCUAACUACGUGCCAGCAGCCGCGGUAA
rnacentral:rRNA from 1 species